CAGCAGGAUGGGGACCUGCAAUAAUCGGUCCCAUUAUUACAAAACAACUGUGCUAAGCUAUUCAGUGGAAGGCCUGAACCCUCGUGGGUCUGACCACUGGAAAUAGGUGAGGGUGGCCAGUCCUCUGGCCUUCUAUGUGUUUGGAGAAUCAAAAGGAAAAUUAAGUGUUUCUCCAUCGCACUCAGAAGAACGCCCAGGUCCCUACAUGUGACUCAUUCUGCCACCUGAUCCGCCUCAGCCUGCUCUGCUAAUCUUAGGGGACUGUAUCUCCCUGCCUUCUAGACCUUCAGCUAUUCAGGCCUCUACAUAUAACAGGAGAGAUACUCACUUGCUGAGUCGUGGAUGACUCUGUCUGCAUUCCUAAGACAGAAUGGGUGAAGCCAAAUCUCCUUCCUUGUCUUAUUCCCAGAACAUCAUACAACCCUUGGCAUACAGUAGGAUACAGUAGAUCCUGCUCCACUGACACUGCCUGGCUUGACUGACCUGAAACCUCCCAGCCUGUGUCGCUCUGGCAGUUCCUUCCCACACCCUGUGGGUAGCACCCAAACAAGCCUCUUGGGAUUUAAGGUGGGUCGAUCCAGGAGCUUCACACCCAUUUGUCAGAUGAGGAAGCUGAGACUCAGAGGUGUGCUGUGGAAAUGAUAAGUGGUCCAGAACUUCACACUUGAGGCUGUGGCUGGGAUGCUAUAAUCCAAAGUCUUCAUGGAGCUCUUCCUGAGGAGAUACAUCCUGUCCUCUAAUGUUGGGUCUUCUGGAUUCCAGGUCCUAGUGUUCUCUUGCCUAGUCUUAUUGAGGCCUCAGUGUAUCCAUACUGAAGUGAGUCAAGACCACUCCAGAGGCCUCUGUGUGGCUUCUCCUCAAGUCCUCAUGCCUGAGGACUCAAGGCACCAAGUCCUGUAUAAGUCAGUGGUUCUCAACCUGUGGGUUGAAACCCCUUGGGGGGCCAAACAGUCAUAGGAAUUGCAUCAGAAAUUUAUAUUGCAUAGUAUUAAAAGAUUAUAUAAAAGUGGUAAAAUUAUAGUAAUGAAGUAGUCACAAAAUUAUUUUCUGGUUGGGGGCUACUACAACAUGGGGAAAUGUAUUAAAGGGUCACAGCAUUAGGAAGGUUGAGGACCACUGACUGGUAUAAGUGAACUCUGCUUAUAUUUAGGUCUCAUCAUAAUUUUUUUGGAAGUCCUCCAUAAUUACCCAGGUUGGGAUAGAUCCCUGGCCAUAUAGAGAUGGCUCAAUGGUUGAGAGAAUGUGCUGUUCUUACACAGGAUCUCAGUUAAGUCUCUAGUUCCCAUGUGAGGUGCUCACUUGAGUCACCUGGAACUUCAGGGGGAUUCUGAUAUCUCUGGCCUUUUUAAGCACCAACAUCCACAUGUAUACACCCCCUCUCCCCACAUAUAUGCAUAAACACAUACAAUAAGAUAAAAAACCAUCACUUGGGAGGCAUAGGCAGGCAGGGCUCUGUAUGAGAUCCAGGACAGUCAGGUCUACAUAGCGAGUUUCAGGCUAGCCAGGAAUACAUAGUAUGAUUCUGUCUCAAAAACCAACAAAAAUAAAGGGCCAUGAGAUAUUGAUAAUCAUAGGCCUUUAUGGUCUGACCUAGGUGCAAAACGCAAGACAGAAAGCAUCAUCCUAGGACUGAGGAGAUGGCGCAGCAGGUAGGAGCACCUGCUGUGCAAGCAUGAAGACCUGAGUUCAAAUCCCCAGAACUCAUGUAAAAAACUGAAUGUAGUCACACCUAUAACCCCAGUGCUGUGGAUGAUGGGGGUGGAGGAGUGAGGAUGGUGGCAGAGUCAAGAGGAUUUCUAGGGAUGUGCUGAAUACUAGUGUAACUCCAGAUUUAGUGAGAGACCACGCGUGAAGUAGACAGGAUGGUGGAGUGGUAGAGAGGGUCAUCUGACACACACACACACACACACACACACACACACACACACACACACACUGUGGGAAUCCACAGAAUUGACUCCAUUCAUUUUGACUUACAGUGAGAGGGUUUUUACCUGCCAAUGCUCCUUCAAGGUCAAACUGCAUAAUGUUUGGCCUAAGAUGUGGCUGUUGUGUAUCCUACCUUGACAACAGGAAGUCUGGUCUAAGAUGUGGAUGCAACAGAUGCUUGGCAUAGGAUGUGGUUGCUGCAUGUCCUACCUAAACAAUAGAAUAGUUAACUCCGGAUAUAAUUACUUGGUGUGGCUGUUACAUGUCCUGCCUCAACAACAAAAUACUUAACUCAGGAGAGAGUUACUUGCUGUUUUGGGUAUUGAAAUGGCAAUUACGCUUGCUUGUUCUUUGUAUCUUGGUAAGGAAGUAUUUUUCCUUCUCCCCUUCUUUUGAUGGGGGUGAAAAAGACUGUUAACAAUAAACAUGGGUGGUUUAGUAUUCACUGGAUGCCCUCCCAACUCUA